AUUGAACGCUGGCGGCAUGCCUUACACAUGCAAGUCGAACGGCAGCACGGGAGCAAUCCUGGUGGCGAGUGGCGAACGGGUGAGUAAAGUAUCGGAACGUGCCCAGUCGUGGGGGAUAACGUAGCGAAAGUUACGCUAAUACCGCAUACGAUCUAUGGAUGAUAGCGGGGGAUCGCGAGACCUCGCGCGAUUGGAGCGGCCGAUAUCAGAUUAGGUAGUUGGUGGGGUAAAGGCUCACCAAGCCGACGAUCUGUAGCUGGUCUGAGAGGACGACCAGCCACACGGGGACUGAGACACGGCCCAGACUCCUACGGGAGGCGGCAGUGGGGAAUUUUGGACAAUGGGCGAAAGCCUGAUCCAGCCAUGCCGCGUGCAGGAUGAAGGCCUUCGGGUUGUAAACUGCUUUUGUACGGAACGAAAAGGUUUGGGCUAAUAAGCUGAGCUCAUGACGGUACCGUAAGAAUAAGCACCGGCUAACUACGUGCCAGCAGCCGCCGUAA
rnacentral:rRNA from 1 species